ensembl:lncRNA
CAACACAAACGCAGUAAAACACACCAGCAUCUGCUGCCGAUCAAUAACCUCAUUAUGAUCAAUAACCCGAUUAGGACCCAGAGCCAGAGAUCGGCUACUUAAGGGGAGGAGAGGAUUCUCCCUCAGAGCACUCCUCCAGUCCGGACUAGAUACUGCACCGUUUUUCCUCGUGGUUCUGAAGCUUGUCUUGUCGGGACCUCAACUCAUCAUGGUCUGGUUGAGCUGCACGGGCCAGCUGGUCCUGAUGUCCACCCUGGUCCUCACCACCUCCUCCCUGUCCAACCCCAGGCCUGAUGAAGACAACAACGUCCUUCAGAGUCAGACGGGUGUCCACUCACGUGGGAGCUGCUCCAACGCGCCGCUGGGAGAGCAGCUCAG